AGCGAACGCUGGCGGCAGGCCUAACACAUGCAAGUCGAACGGACCCUUCGGGGUUAGUGGCGGACGGGUGAGUAACACGUGGGAACGUGCCUUUAGGUUCGGAAUAGCUCCUGGAAACGGGUGGUAAUGCCGAAUGUGCCCUUCGGGGGAAAGAUUUAUCGCCUUUAGAGCGGCCCGCGUCUGAUUCGCUAGUUGGUGAGGUAAUGGCUCACCAAGGCGACGAUCAGUAGCUGGUCUGAGUGGAUGACCAGCCACAUUGGGACUGGGACACGGCCCAAACUCCUACGGGAGGCAGCAGUGGGGAAUCUUGCGCAAUGGGCGAAAGCCUGACGCAGCCAUGCCGCGUGGAUGAUGAGGGUCUUAGGAUUGUAAAAUCCUUUCACCGGUGAAGAUAAUGACUGUAGCCGGAGAAGAAGCCCCGGCUAACUUCGUGCCAGCAGCCGCGGUAA
rnacentral:rRNA from 1 species